UACGUAGGACCCAAGCGUUAUCCGGAAUUACUGGGCGUAAAGAGUUGCGUAGGUGGCAUCAUAAGUGGAGCGUGAAAGCGUGUGGCUCAACCAUACAGCUGCGUUCCAAACUGUGAAGCUUGAGUAUGAGAGGGGUAGAUGGAAUUUCUAGUGUAGGAGUGAAAUCCGUAGAUAUUAGAAGGAACACCGAUAGCGUAGGCAGUCUACUGGCUCAUUACUGACACUAAGGCACGAAAGCGUGGGGAGCAAACGGG
rnacentral:rRNA from 1 species